GGCCAAAGAGGGGGACCUUCGGGCCUCUCGCGUCAGGAUAUGCCUAGGUGGGAUUAGCUAGUUGGUGAGGUAAGGGCUCACCAAGGCGACGAUCCCUAGCUGGUCUGAGAGGAUGAUCAGCCACACUGGAACUGAGACACGGUCCAGACUCCUACGGGAGGCAGCAGUGGGGAAUAUUGCACAAUGGGCGCAAGCCUGAUGCAGCCAUGCCGCGUGUGUGAAGAAGGCCUUCGGGUUGUAAAGCACUUUCAGUCGUGAGGAAGGUGGUGUAGUUAAUAGCUGCAUUAUUUGACGUUAGCGACAGAAGAAGCACCGGCUAACUCCGUGCCAGCAGCCGCGGUAAUACGGAGGGUGCGAGCGUUAAUCGGAAUUACUGGGCGUAAAGCGCAUGCAGGUGGUUUGUUAAGUCAGAUGUGAAAGCCCGGGGCUCAACCUCGGAAUAGCAUUUGAAACUGGCAGACUAGAGUACUGUAGAGGGGGGUAGAAUUUCAGGUGUAGCGGUGAAAUGCGUAGAGAUCUGAAGGAAUACCGGUGGCGAAGGCGGCCCCCUGGACAGAUAC
rnacentral:rRNA from 1 species